UUAGAGCACAUACAUGCUUGAUUUUACUUCGUUUAAUACAAGGCAUUCUAUAAUUACUAAGAACUGAUUUGUUGAAGUGUGCCUCCCUAUUUUGUCCAGAUAACUACUUCAGGUUAGGCGGGAGAAUUAAAAAGGGUAAGCAUAGAUAUAUGGUCUAGCAUCACGAGGUUCAGGUUCCUGCUGUUGAUCAACCGUUGCUUCGGUCGAGUUAGAGAUUAAAGAAGACUGAAAUUAUGGGCUCGCAGCGAGGAUUGCUGUGUCCAACCUGCACAAGAAUGCCAAGAAGUCCUUCUCGGAGACGAUUAAGGACAUGUACCUGCACUACAACGAGAGAUCUGGGCUGCUUCUUUGUGGCUUCCAAACUUGAAAUGUUUGUUUGGAAGUUAGUUUAGUUUUUUGUUAUGGAUUCACAGCUUCUCACAUGUACCAUCCUAUUAGACC